UUUCGCAAUGCCCGAAAGGGUGACGAAGCGACGCCGCGUGAGUGAGGAAGGCCUUCGGGUUGUAAGGCUCUGUCAGGAGUUAAGAAAUAUAAGUGUGUUAAUACCACAUUUAUUUGACGAAGGCUCCAAAGGAAGCCACGGCUAACUCUGUGCCAGCAGCCGCGGUAAUACAGAGGUGGCAAGCGUUGUUCGGAAUUAUUGGGCGUAAAGAGCACGUAGGUGGGUUUGUAAGUCAGAUGUGAAAGCCUUCUGUUCAACGGAAGAAUUGCAUCUGAAACUGCGAGUCUUGAGUGUAGGAGGGGAGAAUGGAACUUCUGGUGGAGCGGUGAAAUGCGUAGAUAUCAGAAGGAACGCCGGCGGCGAAAGCGAUUCUCUGGCCUAUUACUGACACUCAGUGUGCGAAAGCUAGGGGAGCAAACGGGAUUAGAUACCCCGGUAGUCCUAGCUGUAAACGAUGGGCACUAAGUAGAGGGGUUUUA
rnacentral:rRNA from 1 species